CAGACUUGUGCACGAUAUCGUGAUGCUUUGUCGCAAUUCAUUCGCAUGGUGGUCAACAUCGGAGAUAUAGAAGGCUCUGGAAGCAUCUCGAGUCAUCGAUGCGAGCGAUUCCAAUGAACGUCAUGAUGAUUUAACAUCAGGAGAUCGCGUUUGCGGCUCAUCGCCAGUGAUUAAUUAAGAUGAUUCGCUGAUGACUUCAAGGAAAGGAGAGAGAGUAAUAGUAGAUGUAUAUUUAUAUAUAUAUAUAUAAAUAUAACAAGUAUGAGUGUGUGAGCGCAGUCACUACUGACCAGCUAGACAGCCAACGGAGGAGAGUAAGAAAAGUGAGUGUCUGAAGCAUCCAAAUAUAAUUCAAAACUCACAUGUGUGAUGGCUCGUAGACCAAACUCCCCCAAAAAGGAAUAAGUCGUUUUAACUUCCCAGAAUUCCGCGACCAUUACGCAGCUUUGCUUUAAAUACCUCUCAGGUCUUUGCUCUACAUUUUUAAAUUACAUUUCAUAAUUAUAAUAUUUUUAUUUAUUUAAAUUUUUAAAUUCAAAGGGACUCGAGUAUUCUCUUGGUCGUGGGUUUUAUUAAGUCCGCUCUUAAGUAGAUAAUAAAAAUGUUUGUGCAAAAUAUUAAAAUAAAUAAUCUGCGGCAUCAUUGUAAUGGAAAAGAUUACAUAUUUUUAAAAAUAACUUCGUACCUUAAGGAUUAAAUACUAAGCAUAAAAUUUAUAAAUGCAGAAUUAAUUUUUGAAACAUGUUUUUUAUUAUUAAAAUAAAGUAAUAAUUAUUAUAUUAUUAUACUUAAUGAUUCUUCGUCUAAGGGUUUUAUUUACAAGGAAAAAUUUGUUGUAAAACAAAUUAGUUUUGGCAUAAAAUUAAUAUUUAAAUAUUUUACAUAUUUUCAUGUUAUUUUUACAGUUCAUAUCGGCAUAUUUCAAUGGAAAAAACAAUUUUCAUCAUUUGUUCACUAUUUUUUUCUUUUUUAAAUUCCUCACAUUACAGGAUAAAAGCAUUCAAUAACAAAAAUUCCCAGCACUUGAACACACGAUUAUUUUAUACGGAUGUGCCCAAUUACUAGAGAUUAUCACAAAUAAAAUAAUUAAAUAGAUUAAAAUAUAUAACAAACGAAUACUCUCAAUUACGCAAAGAACAAUAGAUUUAAUUAUUAAGAAAUAUGAUAAGUUUUUUUUUUUAAAUCACAGUAAUUAAUAAAUCUAUUAAAAAAUAAUAAAAACUUGGCUAUUUAUAGUAGUAAUGCUUUUAUCCACAAUUAAGAAUAUAUAUAGCAAAAAAAAAAAAUAUUUAUUAUCGCUGCGCGAUAAAACGCAAACAAAAAACAGCUCGACAGUAAAAAACGAAUUCAACGAUUUUGUUUGGUUUAAAAUUACAGCGAUUUUUUACUAAGUGUCCACGGCGCCAAAGAUGAUCAUUGUUUGAAUAAUAAAUCCAGUAAUACGCUGAUCGUUUAUGUAACCGAUGUACGCAAAAACACGAAAUGUCAUUAAUAAUUUACAGUAAUGUAAACUCUUUUAUUAACUUUAACAAAAGAACUUAUCAUUACAUCAUAUUGUCCAUGUGCGCACACGUAUACUACUGUUGAAACAAGUGUGUGUUGUGUAUACGUAUGCCUCCAAGAAGUUCCGGCCCUCUUUUUUGGCGGCUGAUGGUCCAAUACCAUUUGUAUUUUCGUGUACCCGGUCAAUACUUCAAUAUAAUAUAUAUGUAGAUAUUUUUUUUCUUAUACAGUAAGACCGCAAUCUUGAUGUCUAUGUCUUGGAAGCUCUGGCACGUAAAGUUCUUCGUCACUUUCCGAAUCAUCACUUAUGUCUGAAUCAGAUUCAGGCUUGUACUUUGGAUCGGCACCAAACUGUACGAGUUUGUUUGCUAAUUGCAUAUUGAUACACGCAGCCAAUUGAUACGCGGUUAAUCCUGCGUAAUUCGGUGUGUCGAAACAGGGUCUGCACUCGUUCAAAAUAAAAUUUAAAACAGAGUGACAGUUGGAUUCAACGGCAAUAUGAAGCGCCGUUUUUCCCCCCAAGCCUUCUCUUGCUUCAAGAUUUGCUCCAAGCCGCAACAACAAUCGCAUGAUGUCUGCGUGAUCAUUUUUGGCGGCGAUAUGGAUGCACAUUUGUCCUGAAAAAAUAAAGUUAAUAAUUUAUUUAGCUGAGUUUUCAUUUAUAAGUGCAGUUGAGUAUUUUUAUGAUGGAUAAAUAAAACUAAUAAGUUUAAAUGAGUGUCUGGUGGCGUCUGCUGGUUCAUAACAUUGCUUCCGAGCAUGCAAAUGACGUCGAGAAAGUUUUAAAUGAAACAAUAUGUGAAUGUUAAAUUUGGAAAGCGAGCAGGAAGAGUAGAUGUGAGACGAAAUGAGUACGCAAUAAAAGCAUAUGUGAUCCACCGACUUCUACGCUAGUGCUGGGGCUUUCCCAAGUCGAGAAUGCCGACGAGCGCGGGCGCAAAUAACCCUACAGGUAUUUUAAAAUGUCUAAAACAUCUGGUCUGUCUCAUCGUCGCGUGAUGUAACCGCCCAGACAACUUAUUUUGCUAUUCAUAAUUAAUCUCAAUAACUUGGUCUUACAAUCAUUUUUACUAGCUCACGCAAAUCAUUUUUUGGUACCAGAUAAAAUAUCAGUAAAGUUUUACCGAUGACUUUUACAAUUUUAAAUUAACGAGCAAAAAAUAUGAAUCCCGUUUUUCUUAAAAAAAAUAACGAUCAUAAAAAUAAAUAAAAUAAAAUAAAAAAAAAAUAAUAAAUAAAAUGCUGAUGGCAAAGUUUCUUAUGACAGUAUUUAAGUAUCGCUCGUUUAACUGGGGGAAAAUCCCAGCCGACGAGACUCUUGGGCGAAAUACCUCAUCAGAAAUUUUGUAUCGCGUAUUUUCCCAACUCCCAUACACGCGUAUCCUCUCUCUUUUCAUUUCACUCAUUGAAUAAAUAUUUUUAUACC